rnacentral:sRNA from 1 species
UUUUCGCCUGUAGUAAACGAGGAUGAGAGCCUCCGAAGGAGGUUUGAGCCGAGCGAAGCGAGACCACGUUGCUUUAGCAACGGCCCGAAGGGCAAGCAUCGAAGAUGCGCGUAAUCCUCUCUCGCCGACCA